AAUCGUUAAGAACCGUGAGAGAUGAUCACGUUGAUAGGCUUUAAGUGUAAGCGCAGUAAUGCGUUGAGCUGAGAAGUACUAAUGUUUCGAUUCCUGUUAAGAA
rfam:Candidatus Nomurabacteria bacterium RIFCSPHIGHO2_02_FTLL_35_13 rifcsphigho2_02_scaffold_5137, whole genome shotgun sequence.